UGUGGUAAACAUCAUCCACAUGGGUCAAAUCCGCAAGAAAAGACGUCAUACAAUUGUCGACGAAGAUAGCCGAAGCUGUGGAAUAUCCGUUCUUGGCGUGAUCUCUGGGGAAGAGCUGGACGAACCCAUCGACACCGCUCCAGUCUCCGGUGAAUCCACCUCUCCAGUCGUCUACGUUCCAGACGAUCCGGCAGUGGUCUCUGAAUAGAAUAAUAGCGCAGUGUGUGUCGGAAAAGAAAAACCAUCAACUUCCAAAGGUUUACUUCCAACACCGCUUUUUCCACCACGUACUUUCGUUAAUCAUGAAUCUCGACCAAAUAAGAUGAAUGCGCCAAAAGAAAAAGGGGCUCUCCGGCAAAUGGAUUCUGGAAACGUCAUCCUCUAAUCUCACCUGGUAGGGCGAUUUUCUAAUUCAAAUUUUUCAUUUCGUGUUCUUCUCCUUUAUACACUGCUGUUCAUCAAACAGGUACAUCACUU